UGCCAGCCGCCGCGGUAAUACGGAGGGUGCGAGCGUUAAUCGGAAUUACUGGGCGUAAAGGGUGCGUAGGCGGUUGAAUCAGUCGGAUGUGAAAGCCCCGGGCUUAACCUGGGAAUUGCAUUCGAUACUGUUCGGCUAGAGUACGAUAGAGGGUGGUGGAACUCCAGGUGUAGCGGUGAAAUGCGUAGAUAUCUGGAAGAAUACCAGUGGCGAAGGCGGCCACCUGGAUCGUAACUGACGCUGAGGCACGAAAGCGUGGGGAGCAAACAGGAUUAGAUACCCUGGUAGUCCACGCCCUAAACGAUGAGAACUAGCCGCUGGGAGGAUUAGCCUUUCAGUGGCGUAGCUAACGCGUUAAGUUCUCCGCCUGGGGAGUACGGCCGCAAGGUUGAAACUCAAAUGAAUUGACGG
rnacentral:rRNA from 1 species